GCUCCAUAUAUUCCUCUUGCUUCUCCACAUGCACACCUGAGUCUUCUCCACUUGCCUUUGUACCCAAGAGGCUGAUCUGUACAAACAACAUGACUGAGCACCCCUGCCUUCUGGCUUCAGGUGUGUUCGGCAGAGGGGGCCUAGCAGGAGACAGGAGGGAAGGAGGAAGAAAAUAAAUGAUGCCUGAAAUGAAGACAACUUCUGGAAUGGUGAGAUCCCACAGGUACUCUCUUCCCCACCACAUACUGGCACUGUGACUGCCUCAUCCUUCCCUACAAGCAUUUACCACAUAGUCCUCAGUUGCUGUUUCCAGGUCACAAUGCAGAUGUGGACUGUAAGCCGCCUUUCCUGAAGGUUCCAUGGUCCACACGGAUCACUCCUACAACUCUGG